AGGGCGUAUGGUGGAUGCCUUGGCACUAGGAGCCGAUGAAGGACGUGACUAACUGCGAUAUGCUUCGGGGAGUUGUAAGUAAACUAUGAUCCGGAGAUUUCCGAAUGGGGAAACCUAACAGGUUUUACCGCCUGUUAUCACUAAGUGAAUUCAUAGCUUAGUUGAAGGUAGACGUGGGGAACUGAAACAUCUAAGUACCCACAGGAAGAGAAAGAAAUUCGAUUCCCUCAGUAGCGGCGAGCGAACCGGGAAGAGCCCAAACUAAGAAGCUUGCUUCUUAGGGUUGUAGGACUGAACAUCUGAGUUACCAAGAAAUGAAGUAGUUGAAUAAUCUGGGAAGAUUAGCCAAAGAGAGUGAUAGCCUCGUAAACGAAACUUCGUUUCCUCAGUUCAGGAUCCUGAGUACGGCGGAACACGUGAAACUCCGUCGGAAUCCGGGAGGACCAUCUCCCAAGGCUAAAUACUACCUAGUGACCGAUAGUGAACCAGUACCGUGAGGGAAAGGUGAAAAGCACCCCGGGAGGGGAGUGAAAUAGUUCCUGAAACCAUAUGCCUACAAGUAGUCAGAGCUCGUUAAUGAGUGAUGGCGUGCCUUUUGUAGAAUGAACCGGCGAGUUACGUUAGCGUGCGAGGUUAAGGAGGAAAGUCCGGAGCCGUAGCGAAAGCGAGUCUGAAUAGGGCGAGAUAGUACGUUGACGUAGACCCGAAACCAGGUGACCUACCCAUGUCCAGGUUGAAGGUGCGGUAAAACGCACUGGAGGACCGAACCCGUGUAUGUUGAAAAAUGCUGGGAUGAGGUGUGGGUAGAGGUGAAAUUCCAAACGAACUUGGAGAUAGCUGGUUCUCUCCGAAAUAGCUUUAGGGCUAGCCUCGUGGAGAGGAUAAUGGAGGUAGAGCUCUGUUUGGACUAGGGGCCCGUCAGGGGUUACUGAAUCCAGAUAAACUACGAAUUCCAGAUAUCCAUACACGGGAGUCAGACUGCGAGUGAUAAGAUCCGUAGUCGAAAGGGAAACAGCCCAGACCACCGAUUAAGGUCCCAAAAUAUGUGUUAAGUGGAAAAGGAUGUGGAAUUGCAUAGACAACUAGGAUGUUGGCUUAGAAGCAGCCACCAUUUAAAGAGUGCGUAAUAGCUCACUAGUCGAGUGAUCCUGCGCCGAAAAUGUAACGGGGCUAAACACAUUACCGAAAUCGUGGAUGUACCGUAAGGUACAUGGUAGGAGAGCGUUCUAAGGACGGCGAAGCUAGACCGUAAGGACUGGUGGAGUGCUUAGAAGUGAGAAUGCCGGUAUGAGUAGCGAAAGAUCAGUGAGAAUCUGGUCCACCGUAUGACUAAGGUUUCCUGGGGAAGGCUCGUCCUCCCAGGGUUAGUCGGGACCUAAGCCGAGGCCGAGAGGCGUAGGCGAUGGAUAACAGGUUGAGAUUCCUGUACUGGUUAAACUUGUUUGAACAAUGGAGGGACGCAGGAGGCUAUCGAUGCGUACUGUUGGAUAUGUACGUUCAAGCAAUAAGUCUGUAGAUGAGUCAAAUGCUUAUCUACUUAAGGACAAGUUGUGAUGAGGAGCGAAAUUUAGUAGCGAAGUGAGAGACGUCACACUGCCAAGAAAAGCUUCUAGUUAGAGUUUAAUCACCCGUACCGCAAACCGACACAGGUAGUCGAGGCGAGUAGCCUAAGGUGAGCGAGAGAACUCUCGUUAAGGAACUCGGCAAAAUGACCCCGUAACUUCGGGAGAAGGGGUGCUGAGCGCAAGCUCAGCCGCAGUGAAUAGGCCCAGGCGACUGUUUAUCAAAAACACAGGUUUCUGCAAAAUCGUAAGAUGAAGUAUAGGGGCUGACGCCUGCCCGGUGCUGGAAGGUUAAGAGGAUGGGUUAGCGUAAGCGAAGCUCAGAAUUGAAGCCCCAGUAAACGGCGGCCGUAACUAUAACGGUCCUAAGGUAGCGAAAUUCCUUGUCGGGUAAGUUCCGACCUGCACGAAAGGUGUAAUGAUUUGGGCACUGUCUCAACGAGAGACUCGGUGAAAUUAUAAUACCCGUGAAGAUGCGGGUUACCCGCGACAGGACGGAAAGACCCCAUGGAGCUUCACUGUAGCUUGAUAUUGAGUAUCUUUUAAACAUGUACAGGAUAGGUAGGAGCCAGAGAAGAUAGGACGCUAGUCUUAUUGGAGGCAAUGUUGGGAUACUACCCUUGUUUGAAGGAUGCUCUAACCUCGACCUGUAAGCCAGGCCAGGGACAGUGUCAGGUGGGCAGUUUGACUGGGGCGGUCGCCUCCUAAAGUGUAACGGAGGCGCUCAAAGGUUCCCUCAGAAUGGUUGGAAAUCAUUCGCAGAGUGUAAAGGUAUAAGGGAGCUUGACUGCGAGAGAGACAACUCGAGCAGGUAGGAAACUAGGACUUAGUGAUCUGGUGGUACCGUAUGGAAGGGCCAUCACUCAACGGAUAAAAGCUACCCUGGGGAUAACAGGCUUAUCUCCCCCAAGAGUUCACAUCGACGGGGAGGUUUGGCACCUCGAUGUCGGCUCAUCGCAUCCUGGGGCUGUAGUCGGUCCCAAGGGUUGGGCUGUUCGCCCAUUAAAGCGGUACGCGAGCUGGGUUCAGAACGUCGUGAGACAGUUCGGUCCCUAUCCGUCGUGGGCGUAGGAAAUUUGAGAGGAGCUGUCCUUAGUACGAGAGGACCGGGAUGGACGCACCGCUGGUGUACCAGUUGUUCCGCCAGGAGCAUCGCUGGGUAGCUAUGUGCGGAAGGGAUAAGCGCUGAAAGCAUCUAAGUGCGAAGCCCCCCUCAAGAUGAGAUUUCCUUUGC
rnacentral:rRNA from 1 species